rnacentral:tRNA from 1 species
GCUCCUAUGGUGUAAAAAACACGUUGGUUUUUCGUGCCAAAAAUGAACUAACUAGGUUCUAGGGGUC